GAUGAAGAACGUAGCGAAAUGCGAUAAGUAGUGUGAAUUGCAGAAUUCAGUGAAUCAUCGAAUCUUUGAACGCACAUUGCGCCCCUCGGCAUUCCGUGGGGCAUACCUGUUCGAGCGUCAUUAUAACCCCUCAAGCUCAGCUUGGUGUUGGGGCCUGCUGCACUGGCAGCCCUUAAAAUCAGUGGCGGCGCCAUCUGGCUCUAAGCGUAGUAAUUCUUCUCGCUAUGGAGUCCUGGUGGAUGCUUGCCAUCAACCCCCAAUUUUUCUAUGGUUGACCUCGGAUCAGGUAGGGAUACCCGCUGAACUUAAGCAUAUCAAUAAGCGGAGGA
rnacentral:misc_RNA from 1 species